CGGUACCGAAUUGUCCCUGUACAUCCCGGUAACUUUAUCUUCGCGCUGGAGCUUCUUGGCAGCCUGGCCUGGCGGUACCGCGUUCUCAAGGCAGCGUUUAAACCCUGCCUGGGUUUAUAUUAAUUACAAAUAUAAUGUGUUAAUACAUGGCUGUAAUGUACUUACAAAUCAUGCUGCCCCUCAAACGACAGUGUUUCAUGAAAUGAGAGGUCAGGGAACUGCUUUAGUGAUGCCAGGCAUCACUCCGUUGUUCCAGCUUCCAUCAUCUCCAGAGUAUGGCUGCGUGCGAGGGGACUGUCCUCCCUCGGUCUCAACACCAUGCAUCUAUGGGCUGGAGAAAGCCUGAAGCAUUUGUUGACUGUCCCUUCGAAGUACCUAUGUACCCAGCCAAGACUCACUAUGUGCUGCAGGAAUCCUCUGUCUCCGACUGAUAGAAGCAAAGUAACUGGAUAAAUCUACUGGAAUGUUUCUCUAUAGGUGGGAUGACUUCUGUUCCUCAAGUGGCUCAACAGAUUAGCCAGGAGCAAAAUCAACAGCAAAAUGGGCCAAAUUUGUCAAGUUUGCAUAAUUCCUUACCUGUUCUGCAGAGUGGGAGCCCAGCUUUUCUUCAGCAGGUACAACGAACAGGCUGUGACUUUGGUACCGACUCCAGCUCCUGUAAAAAAAACAAGUAUCAGGUUUGCAUAUUAUUGUGUACGUGGCUUUGAACAUCUGUUUUUUAUGAAUUGUCAUUGCUGUUGUUGUCUAUUCUGUACCAUUAAAUAGUCUGUCUGAAUACUGGGAAGAGAGUAUCCUCAGAAACAGUAACACCUGUCUCAUUAAGAAAGUCUAGACAAGAUUAAUUUUUUGGCACUUCUGCUAGUUUCCCUUGAAAUUUUACUUCUGUGAACAUCUCUGUUCAUUUAUGUCAUUUGCUCAGCUCACGUAGUGAAUGUUAUCUGGAGGUAAAUAUAGCUUCAUGAAUAAUUUCAGGCCUUAUAUGUCAUGAAGGAGAGUGCUUUGCUAAUCCUAGCUGGUGCAGCUGGCUCACUGCAGACAUUUGAGUUUUGAUGUGAGGUAUUCUCAGGCAGCUCUCGCUUGUUAUCUGAUGACUUCUAUUCAUGGUGGUAGCUUUAAAACUGCAAGUAGAGUUAGAAGAAAGGAAGAAGACAGCAUGAAACUCACAGAACAUGUCAAAACCAGAAAUAAGAGACUGAUUAAGAAAGAGAACCUUCAGAAGGAAGUGGUACUUCCAGAACUUCUCACAUUUACUGUAGAGAAAUAUGUGCCAGAUUUAGCAGAUGCUGCUGCUGCUGCAGAAGUGCUGUUACCCAGAAGCAGUGCUCAAAUCAUACCAGUCUUAGAGUCUAUGAAAGUCUGGGCUGGAGUAGUUGGUAAAGCUAUAUAAGAUAAAUCUCAAUGGCAUGCUGGCUGAUGAACCUGGACUUGGAAAAACAGUGCAAGUUGUUGCUUUUUUUUGCACACCCGGCAUAUAAUGAAGGUAUGAAAUAUUAUAGCUCUUUUGUUUUAUAAAUCUAUAUUUUUAACAGUUCAUUGGUUGAAUGCAUUUUCUGUAACAGGAGAAAAAAUAAUUGCUUUUAAUAUGUAUAGUUUAAAGAAAUGUAUCUGGAAUAAAUCUUGUAAAAAAUAUGCAAUUCCUUUCAUUGUUAGUGCAUGUUGUCGAGAUACACACAUUUGCCUUUUAUUGUAACUCUGAAGUGUUAUGCAGUCAUUUCCUAUCAUGCUGUACCUUUUAUCUCUGUAGGUAACUGGGGUUCUGUUCUUGUUGUUUCACAAAACUUGAAUGUGCUGAAGUGGGAGAUUUGAACUGAAAUGCUUGUGUCCUGCUUUGAAAAUUCUUCUGCAUCUUGGAAACCCAUGAGAACUUUUUUGAAGAAGACAGGUAUUGUGGAACAAUGUACUGGGUAGUGUAACUAGUACACAAGGAAAAUAUCAGCCUGAGUUAUGGUUAUACCAUUGUGAUUAAAAACUUCAGCAUAGUCAUUUCACAACUUGUUUCUUCUCUCUUUUGUUGUGAGCAUACUGGAAAAAUGAAGCUAUUUUCUUAUU